GGGCCCGCACAAGCGGUGGAGCAUGUGGUUUAAUUCGAUGCAACGCGAAGAACCUUACCUACUCUUGACAUCCAGAGAACUUUCCAGAGAUGGAUUGGUGCCUUCGGGAACUCUGAGACAGGUGCUGCAUGGCUGUCGUCAGCUCGUGUUGUGAAAUGUUGGGUUAAGUCCCGCAACGAGCGCAACCCUUAUCCUUGUUUGCCAGCGAGUAAUGUCGGGAACUCCAGGGAGACUGCCGGUGAUAAACCGGAGGAAGGUGGGGACGACGUCAAGUCAUCAUGGCCCUUACGAGUAGGGCUACACACGUGCUACAAUGGCGCAUACAGAGGGCGGCCAACUUGCGAGAGUGAGCGAAUCCCAAAAAGUGCGUCGUAGUCCGGAUCGGAGUCUGCAACUCGACUCCGUGAAGUCGGAAUCGCUAGUAAUCGUGGAU
rnacentral:rRNA from 1 species